UUCUGUAGCUUACUGACAAAUAUCAAGAGUUCGUAGUGGAUUCAGAGAGAGAACCGUUAAUGGCUAAACUCCAAGAGGUGGAAGAUUGGUUGUACGAGGAUGGUGAGGAUGAAACCAAAGGUGUCUAUAUUGCUAAACUGGAGGAACUCAAGAAGGUAGUCUUGUGUUUAUUUGUUAGUGAUUACUGCGUCUUUAAUUUCUGACCUUCAUAUGAGAGGACAUCAUUUUAAGAAUGUGUCAAAUAUCCUGCAGCUAGGUGAUCCCAUUGAGUUGCGAUACAAGGAGCAUAUGGAGAGGGGACCUGUAAUUGAUCAACUUAUUUAUUGCAUCAACAGUUACAGGGAGGCUGCAAUGUCAAAUGAUCCAAAAUUUGAUCACAUUGAUAUGGCAGAUAAGCAAAAGGUAUGCUCUCUGGCGCACUCCCCUUCCUCCUCAGAAGUAGGCUCGUGUGUUAUAACUGGUACUACUGUUAAUGGAUUGUGAUUUACUUUACAUCACUGUACCAGGUUUUGAAUGAAUGCGUCGAAGCAGAGGCUUGGCUAAGAGAGAAAAAGCAGCAGCAGGAUGCACUUCCCAAGUAUGCAAUGCCAGUUCUUUUUUCCGCUGAUGUCAGGAAAAAAGCUGAAGCUCUCGAUAGGUAUUCUUUCAUUUAACCGUCGAGUAAUUAUGAGCCAUUUUCUAUUAAGUUGUGGGUUUGCCGUCUAUUGUCUAAAUGCUAUUUUUGUGUCUUUGCGGCAUGGUGGGGAAGAUGCUAAAUAGCUUGCUAGUACGCCUGUUUGUUUUUGUUCUAGUAAUUACAAACUAUUUGGUCUCUAAUGAAAAUACAACUUGCCUUGGCAGGCUUUGCAGGCCAAUAAUGAUGAAGCCAAAGCCGGUGAAGCCAGCUACUCCUGAAGCACCCUCACCAGCAUCCUCUCAAGGAGGCGAGUCCCAAUCUCAUGGAGCAGAGAACCCUAACUCAAGCCCUGGCCAGAACACUGAUGAAUCUAGAAAUGAAGCAUCAUCCACGGAGCCCAUGGAAACCGAUAAGUCUCAAGAGUGACCCAAUUGCUGCAUAAUGUGUUUGUCCUGUUGCUAUAUCUAUAUUUCUUGCUGGGCUUGUAUGGCCUCGUCUGUACGAGUAGCAAUCAGCGACUGGAACUUUUUUGUGGCUGCGAUAUGUUUGCUGGAACUUGUUUCUUUGGAUAAUGUAUAUCUCUAUAAUCCUGUUUUACAGAAGGGUUUGUGAGAGAGAACCUAAAUGACUAUGAUAUGAUAUUCCUUUGCCUGCGUAUUCUUCUGCACAAAAAUGACCUGUCCUGAUGUUUAUUGAUUAAAAUUUCCCAUUUCUGAUAUAGACUUUCUUUCUGUAUUUGAUUUUGAUUUUCCAAUUAAAUUAGAUUUUGUUUUCGUUAAAGAGAGGCUUUUUAUAUUUUAUGUUCACGGAUGUGA
rnacentral:lncRNA from 1 species